rnacentral:rRNA from 1 species
GAACGUGCAUCGUGAUAGGGAUAGAUUAUUGCAAUUAUUAAUCUUGAACGAGGAAUUCCUAGUAAACGCAGUUCAUCAAACUGCAUUGAUUACGUCCCUGCCCUUUGUACACACCGCCCGUCGCACCUACCGAUUGAAUGGUCCGGUGAAGCYUCGGGAUUGUGACCAGUGCCUUUACUGGUGUUGGUUGCGAGAACUUGUCUAAACCUUAUCAUUUAGAGGAAGGUGAAGUCGUAACAAGGUUUCCGUAGGUGAACCUGCGGAAGGAUCA